AGCGGCUAUUCAGAAGGCAACGCGAAAACCGUCUGCUGCUGUGGCAUAGUUUUGCAAUUGCAAAUGAACGUUUCGAAUUUGGGAGGGAAGGCAAGGGAAAGCGUGGCCGUCUACCAGAGUAAAAAUGGGAGGCCAAAUGGCGAGCAACCUCUCGAGCUUAGUACACGAACUUCGAGAACGCAUAGCGGCAACCUCUUCCACUCCACCCAGCAAAGUCGAUGAUGAUGCAUUAGAGAUCAGAUUUCGCGCCGUGCUUCCUAAUCUCCUUCACGCCUACGUCGUCCCCUCUUCGUCUGCUAGUGAGAGAGAGGUUAUUGCUGUUUUGAAGCUAAUUUCUCACACUGCGAGGAAUUUUCCCGGUGUCUUUUAUCAUGGGAAGGCCAGUGCUGUACUGCCGGUGAUUGGUAGGAUUUUGCCAUUCUUUGCAGAACCUGCAUUUCGCUCACGACAUGGAGUUAUUUUUGAAACGGUUGGAUCUCUAUUAUCCUUGCUUCGUACUGGCGCGCGAGAUGCAUACUGUCAAUUUUUCAUUGAUGCCAUGUCAGUUGUUGAAGAUCUUUUGUAUGUGGCAUCACUUUCUGCUGAAAAGACAAGCAUUUCAGGUUCUGCUGGAUUAACUUUGAAAUGUUUCUGCAAGUCCUUUACUGGAUUUUCUGGAGAUCCUACUUGUCUUUGUGAUCUUCCUGCAAGUAGUAAACCAAUGGAUGGUGCUGGCAUCUUGAUCAACAUUAUGGACAAAAGGAGGUGGCAACCUUUUGCAACUUGGAUAAUUAGGCUUCUUAACAAAUGCGUUACUGAAGGAACUCUAUAUGUGGAGGGGCUCAUCAAUAAAUCAAGUGUUUUGGCUUCCUGUUCUCUCUUAUGCUACGGAGAUGCUGACUUGCAUAUGGCAUGUUUUGAUUUUGCACGCAUCAUUGGAUCAGUGAUAGAUAGUGACAUCAUUCCUCACCAGAAUAUAAUUGAGUCAAUAGCCACAAUUUUAAGCGAGGACAAAGAAGGGCUUCCUAUAUUCAGAAACAUGAUGUAUGAUUCCUCCAUUGGUGGUUGCCUUACUGCAUUGCAUUCUAGUUGUCCUGAUGAUGUCGUAAAAUUAACAGCUGCACAUCUAAUGAAUGUUCUUCCUUUGUCAAUGUACAGAACCAAAAGCCAGGAGCUUAAGGAGGCUUUGUGCAUUGCUUACAAACGGAUUGCUAGAACUUGCCCCCCUUAUAUUUGGAAGCCAGAGUGUCUGAUACGUAUGCUUUGUUUUCAAGAACCCUACUCUUCCUUGAUUGAUUGCCUUCAUGUAACUCUCUUAAUCCUUGGUCCUGAGCGGGUUGGAGGGAGGGUGAUAACUAAUGGUAAUGUGUGUUUACCAGCAUCAUCUGAAGUAUCAAUUGAGAAGUUGAGGGUUGGAGAAAAGAGGCAUGUUCAGGAUAUAGAUAAUAUCAAGUUCAAACGCCAAAAGGUAGAUGGAGAUAUUAUGGCUUUUGCUGCUAAUGUUUCGGCGGAGAGUAAGCCUACUCAUAUAGUUAGCUUUGAAAAAGAAGACGAAGAAUAUGCAGAUUAUAUGCAUACAUCUCUUCUUUCAUUUCUUGAACUUCUGAAACCUCCUUCUGUGAGACUUGAAUCUUUAAGGCCUCAUGUAGCAUUGACAGCUCUUAGCAUGCUUUGUAUUGCUUUCUGUAGAUACCAAAUGACCAGUAUCUCACUCUCCAUCAUCCAGCAAAUGUGUUCAUGGAUCCCAUGGAUAUGUGAGCAGGCAAAUCUUGGAGCUUCAAUCACACUAAACAUUUCCAUCUAUUUGGAAGGAAUUCGCAGCAUAUUGCUCAUGCAAAGAAAUUUGCUAUUGGAGGACAAGCUUUUAAAACUUAAGGGCGAUGAUGUGAAUCUUAUGCACAUGUUACUAAAGCUUCCAUGGACUCAUUCUCAUAUGGUUGCUGGACCACAUCCUCCAUGGAAAGCAAAAUGUACUUCUGUCAAGGUUGUGCCUAUGUUAGGCAAUAGUUUGAAAACAGAAAGUGUUCUGGAAGUCCUAGAUUUGGGUCUUCAUGAUGAUGCUGAAGAUGUGAGACUUGAAGCUGUCAUUUCUAUGCCAAUGAUUGUCUUGUGGUCUGGUCUUGGAGUACUUGCACAAAUGUUCGAAAGGCUAGAGUUCUUGGAAAGAGAGGAGCAUGAGAGAAUUAAGAAAAUCAUUCCCUUUGCUCUUGGUAUUUUGUCAUGCUUAUAUGGAUGUUGCAGUAGUAUUGAUGGUCUAGAUAGGGGUGAAUGCAAGUUAUUUUUGGAUUUCAAUAAUGAGAAACACAGUCAGACAGAUUACUUGCUGCAAGGAUUCUGGUGCUUACGGUGUGACAGAAGCAUUGUGCCAAAUCAUGAGGUAUACUCUAAAAUAAUGCAACUGCCUGUUACGCAAAGUAGAGAAGUUGGUUUGAAUUGUGAUUUCUUUCAUCUCCAAUCCUUCUUCUUUAAACUUCUUUAUGAUGAUUCCUUGGAAGAGGUUCAAGUUGGCUGUGCAAGAAUUAUUCAACGUGUUCUUGUACAUGGUACUACGGAUAUUCUAAUUAAGACAAGAUUUGAAUGGAUUAGAUGUGUUGAAUUUUUACUAGUCAAUGCAAAGAAGGCUGUAAGGGAAGCAUUUUGCACCCAGAUAAGUUCGUUCCUGGAUGAUUCUGUAUUAAGUUGUUUAUUUUCAGAUGGGGAUUUGUCAAGUAAAACUAAAGAACAGAAAUUUUUAGAUAUAAUGAAACAUGCUUUGGAGGCAGCUAAGGAUCCACAAAUCUUUGAGACUCUUUUGGAAUCUACUGCACAAAUUAUGAUUGCAGUUGAUAUCUCCAGUCAACUUUUCUUGUAUUCUCUUAUCUUGUUGGUUGAUCAACUUGAUAAUCCAUACGUGACUGUAAGAAUGAGUGCAUCAAGGCUAAUACACAAAUCUUGCUUUUUCCAUCUCAAAGGGGGAUUUGAGCUAAUCCUUUCAAAAGUUGUUCAUAUCCGAAAUGAACUCUUUGAUUAUCUAACUAUGAGUCUCGCAAGUCGUCCACAAAUGGUCAGAGAGUUUGCAGAAGCUGUAUUUGGCAUUGAGACUAAAGAGCUUGUUGAAAAAAUGAUUCCCACAGUUCUUCCAAAGCUUGUUGUGUCUCGGCAGGAUAAUGAGAAAGCAGUUAAUGCAUUAUUGGAGUUAGCCAAGUGUGUGAACACUGAUAUGGUGCCAUUGAUUGUUAAUUGGCUACCUAAAGUGCUCGCUUUUGCCCUUCAUCGGUCAGAUAGACAGGAGUUAUUCUCUACCUUGCAGUUUUACCAUGAUCAGACUGGUUCUGAUAACCAAGAAAUAUUUGCAGCAGCACUACCUGCACUUUUAGAUGAACUUGUAUGCUUUCUAGAUGGUGCUGAUUCAAUGGAGAUAAACCAAAGGUUAUCACAAGUUCCUGAGAUGAUAAAAGAAAUUGCCAGAGUUCUGACAGGUGCAGAAGAUCUUCCAUGCUUUUUGAGGAAUCAUUUUGUUGGUUUGCUUAACAGUAUUGAUAGAAAAAUGCUUCAUUCAGAGGAUUUUUCGCUACAGAAACAAGCUUUACAACGUAUUAAGAUGCUGAUUGAAAUGAUGGGCGUUCAACUUAAUACUUAUGUCCCAAAACUAAUGGUUAUUCUCAUGCAUGCCAUUGAUAAAGAAUCUCUGCAAAGUGAGGGUCUCUCUGUCUUGCAUUUUUUCAUUAUGCAAUUGGCAAACAAAUCACCAUCUAGCACUAAACAUGUAAUAUCUCAAGUUUUUGCUGCACUUAUUCCCAUCUUGGAAAGAUAUAAAGAAAACUCUUCUAUGCAUUUAAACAAAGUUGUGAAAAUUUUGGAAGAACUUGUAUUAAAUAACAGAAUUAUCUUGAAGCAGCAUAUUCAUGAGUUCCCUCCAUUACCUAGUAUUCCUGCACUAGUAGAAGUAAACAAAGUUAUCCAGGAAGCACGUGGCUCAAUGACUCUGAGGGAUCAAUUGCGAGAUGUUAUUGAUGGUUUGAACCAUGAGAACCUGAAUGUGAGGUAUAUGGUAGCAUGUGAGUUGAGCAAGUUACUCAACUUGAGAAGGGAAGAUAUUACAGCUUUGAUCACCGGCGAAGUUGCUGCGGAUAUGGAUGUUUUGAGCUUUUUGAUCACGUCCCUGCUAAGAGGAUGUGCAGAAGAAUCAAGGACUGUGGUGGGACAGCGGCUGAAGUUGGUUUGUGCUGAUAGUCUUGGAGCCUUGGGUGCAGUUGACCCUGCCAAGGUGAAGGGUUUUUCAUGUCAACGCUUUAAAAUUGAAUGUUCAGAUGAUGACCUUAUCUUUGAGUUGAUCCAUAAACAUUUAGCUAGGGCUUUUAGAGCGUCACCUGAUACCGUUGUUCAAGACUCAGCUGCAUUGGCAAUACAGGAACUGCUAAAGAUUGCAGGCUGUGAGGCAUCUUUAGAUGAGAAUGUUACUGCUUCUUCACAAUCACUGAAGGAGAAGAGUACUGAAAAUAGUAGUGGGAUGAAUAAUAGGGGUCAAAGAUUGUGGGACCGGUUCUCUAACUAUGUCAAAGAGAUAAUAGCUCCUUGCUUAACUUCUAGAUUUCAGCUUCCAAAUGUAGCUGAUUCGGCAUCAGCUGGCCCAAUUUACCGCCCUUCUAUGUCAUUCAGGAGAUGGAUUUUUUUUUGGAUUAAAAAACUGACUGCACAUGCAACUGGAUCUCGUGCGAGCAUAUUUAAUGCUUGUCGAGGUAUAGUGCGUCAUGAUAUGCAAAUAGCAAUUUAUUUGCUGCCUUAUUUAGUUUUAAAUGCUGUUUGUCAUGGUACAGAGGAGGCACGCCUUGGGAUAGCUGAAGAAAUCCUAUCUGUUCUUGAUGCUGCUGCCUCAGAGAAUAGUGGCGCUACAGUUCAUGUUAUCACUGGUGGCCAAAGUGAAGUUUGCAUUCAAGCUGUGUUCACACUCCUUGAUAAUCUUGGCCAAUGGGUGGAUGAUGUUGAGCAAGAAUUGGCUCUUUUCCAAUCUUUCCAGUCAUCAGGUUCUAAAAAGCAAGCAUCUAGAUCCAAAGAUCAAAGUUCAACUUCUUUGACUGAUCAGGAUCAACUGCUUACACAAUGUAAAUAUGUUUCGGAGCUUUUGACUGCAAUUCCAAAGCUAACCCUUGCUAGGGCCUCCCAUAGGUGUCAAGCUUAUGCAAGGUCUUUGAUGUACUUUGAGUCUCAUGUUCGUGAAAAGUCUGGCUCCUUUAACCCUGCAGCUGAGAGAAGUGGCAUUUUUGAGGAUGAAGAUGUUUCCUAUCUGAUGGAAAUAUACAGCUGUCUAGAUGAACCUGAUGGUCUAUCUGGCUUGGCAUGUUUACGUAAAUCAUUAAGCUUACAGGACCAGCUCUUAAUAAACAAAAAGGCAGGAAAUUGGGCUGAAGUUUUGACUUUUUGUGAGCAAGCUUUGCAGAUGGAGCCCACUUCAGCUCAGAGGCACUCGGAUGUUCUUAACUGUCUACUGAAUAUGUGCCACCUUCAGGCUGUAGUCACUCAUGUGGAUGGUUUAAUAUCUAGGAUUCCUAGAUAUAAGAAAACAUGGUGCAUGCAAGGUGUGCAGGCAGCAUGGAGGCUUGGGAAGUGGGAUUUGAUGGAUGAGUACAUUAGCGGGGCUGAUGAAGAAGGUAUAGUAUGCAGUGGCUCUGAGAGUAACGCUUCCUUUGAUAUGGAUGUUGCAAAGAUUCUCCAGGUUAUGAUGAAAAGGGAUCAGUUCUUAGUUGCUGAGAAGAUUGCAAUGUCAAAGCAAGCUCUGAUUGCUCCUCUUGCUGCUGCGGGCAUGGAUUCUUACAUGCGGGCUUACCCAUUUAUUGUGAAACUUCACUUGCUAAGGGAGUUGGAAGACUUCCAUAAUUUUCUUGGUGAUGACUCUUUCUUGGAGAAAACAUUUCAUCUGGGUAAUAUGGAAUUUGCAAAAUUGUUGGAUAACUGGGAAAAUCGGCUCAGAUUUACGCAGCCAUCUCUUUGGGCAAGAGAGCCACUUUUAGCCUUCCGGAGAUUGGUAUUUGGUGCUAGUGGUCUCGGUGCUCAAGUUGGGAACUGCUGGCUUCAGUAUGCAAAGCUCUGUCGCUUGGCUGGUCAUUAUGAGACAGCAAAUCGAGCUAUUCUUGAAGCCCAGGCUUCAGGUGCACCUAAUGUUCACGUGGAGAAGGCCAAACUUUUGUGGAGUACUAGGAGAUCUGAUGGUGCUAUUGCAGAGUUGCAACAAGCUCUCUUGCACAUGCCUGAGAAGGUUUUAGGCUCUGCCGCAAGGUCAUCAAUUACUAGUCUUUCAUUGGUUCCACUGAAUCCCCAAGCUGCACUUUGUGACACUCAAGCCACAAAUGAGAAUCAAGAUAUUGCAAAGACUCUCCUCCUAUAUACCAGAUGGAUUCAUUACACGGGACAAAAGCAGAAAGAAGAUGUCAUAACACUUUAUUCAAGGGUGAGGGAACUGCAGCCAAAGUGGGAUAAGGGAUUCUUCUAUUUAGCCAAGUAUUGUGAUGAGGUACUGGUUGAUGCCAGGAAACGUCAAGAAGACAAUUCUGAACUAGGUCCCAGACUAGUGCCAUUGGCUUCUGCUGUUGUUUCUUCUGCCAAUAGUGAGAAGCGUUGGUGGCAUUAUGUACCUGAUGUGCUAUUAUUCUAUGCUAAGGGGCUUCAUAAGGGUCACAAGAAUCUCUUUCAAGCCCUUCCAAGGUUGCUAACCUUGUGGUUUGACUUUGGGAGCAUUUAUCAGAGAUGCAGCUCAUCUUCAGGUGAAGAUUUGAAAAAGGUUCAUGAGAAGGUAAUGAGCAUUAUGCGAGGCUGUUUGAAGGAUCUGCCAACAUAUCAGUGGUUAACAGUGUUACCUCAAUUGGUCUCUAGAGUGUGCCACCAGAAUGAAGAAAUUGUUAAAUUGGUCAAACGCAUUAUCACCUGUGUCCUCCGGCAAUACCCACAACAAGCUUUGUGGAUUAUGGCAGCUGUUUCUAAAUCAACAGUCCCUUCAAGACGAGAGGCAGCUGCAGCAAUCAUACAAGAAGCUAAAAAAGGGUUCAGCCAAGGAAACAGUGGGAGCAAUUUGUUUGUUCAGUUUGCUAGCCUGAUUGAUCAUCUGAUAAAAUUGUGCUUCCACCCAGGACAGCCAAAAGCAAAGACAAUUAAUAUAUCAACUGAAUUCAGCUCCUUGAAACGGAUGAUGCCACUGGGAAUUAUUAUGCCAAUUCAACAAUCUCUUACCGCUAGUUUGCCGACCUAUAAUAUCAGUCUAACUGACUCUCUCACCUCUGAUAUCUUUUCUGCCUCAGAUCUUCCAACAAUUUCAGGAAUUUCUGAUGAGGCUGAGAUUCUUUCUUCUCUUCAACGACCCAAGAAAAUUGUUCUGUUGGGUAGUGAUGGUAUUGAACGUCCAUUUCUCUGCAAACCCAAGGAUGACCUUAGGAAAGAUGCUCGUAUGAUGGAGUUCAAUGCAAUGAUCAACAGGUUGUUAUCAAAGUAUCCUGAAAGCCGCCGAAGGAAACUCUAUGUCCGUACUUUUGCAGUGAUUCCUCUAACAGAAGAUUGUGGUAUGGUUGAAUGGGUGCCUCACACUCGCGGCCUGCGCCAUAUUCUUCAAGACCUUUACAUAAUCUGUGGAAAAUUUGAUAGGCAGAAGACUAAUCCUCAAAUUAAACGGAUUUAUGAUCAAUGCCAAGGUAAAAUGCCAGAAGAUGAGAUGCUGAAAAACAAGAUCCUUCCGAUGUUCCCUCCCGUUUUCCACAAAUGGUUCUUGACCACUUUUUCGGAGCCAGCUGCUUGGUUUAGGGCGAGGGUUGCUUAUGCGCACACUACUGCAGUUUGGUCAAUGGUUGGGCACAUUGUGGGGCUAGGAGACCGCCAUGGUGAAAACAUUCUCUUUGACUCUACUACUGGUGAUUGUGUUCAUGUAGAUUUCAGUUGCCUAUUUGACAAAGGCUUGCAGUUGGAGAAGCCUGAACUGGUGCCUUUUAGGCUAACCCAGAACAUGAUUGAUGGUAUGGGCAUCACUGGAUAUGAAGGCAUCUUCUUACGGGUGUGCGAAAUCACACUUUCAGUACUGAGGGCUCACAGAGAGACUUUGAUGAGUGUUCUUGAAACUUUUAUUCAUGAUCCGCUUGUGGAGUGGACAAAAUCUCAUAAAUCCAGUGGGGUGGAAGUUCAAAACCCACAUGCACAGCGAGCCAUUAAUAAUAUUGAAGCAAGGUUGCAAGGAGUAGUUGUUGGUGUUGGAGCAGCACCCUCUUUACCUCUAGCUGUGGAAGGUCAAGCUCGCCGCUUAAUUGCUGAAGCUGUGUCACACAAGAAUCUUGGAAAGAUGUAUAUAUGGUGGAUGCCGUGGUUUUAGAAGUUCUUACAGGAACAAUUUAGGUCAGGUAAGGUGUGUCAUUUUCUUUGACUCGCCUAGUUUUGAAGGGAUCUGUAUCUGCCUUGCCAUUUUUGUUAUAUAUAUGAUCACGAAACUUUGCCCUUAUGACCACUUCAAAUUGAGUAAAAAUCAGUGAAUUCGUUAUAUGGUUACAAAAAAUCAAUCAGAUCACAUUGGACCAAUAUGUUAGAAUGUUAAUUGAAAUGCUAACAAGACAGUUAAAUUUCUUUUUCUCUGACGUUUUUAGUUCCAUUUGACACAAACUUAGACACUUUAAACUUUGAAAUGUAUUUUCUCUCUAAUCUACAUUUCCUCUUCCCUUUUCUUAAGUUUUGAGUUCUCUGUCUCUGCCUCAUAACUCAAUUGUCAAAUGGUCUCCGCCACUUGCUGGUUUGUUUAAACUGAACAUGGAUGCUUCUUUUGUUGGAUGCUCUUUCGGUGCUGCAUAUGAUUUUUUGUUGAGAAAUGCUUUGGGUAUCCACUUGAUGGUGGGGCUGUUGUUUUUUCGUGCUCAGUACCUCGUGGCGGAAGGUCUGGGUCUAAGGGCAGUGAUUAAAUUUGCGAUUGAUAGAAGUCUUGACCAGUGUUCUAUAGAGACUGAUGCUCUGCAUAACCCUUGCAUUCUUCCGCUCCUUACCUCGUUCCUUGGGAAGUGGAAGCAAUCAUUCAUGAAAUCAAAUUGCUAUUAAUUGCUCAUCCUCUUAUUUCUGUUGUAUGUGUCCCCAGAACUGCAAAUUCUUGCACGGACUGGGUGGCUUCUAAUAUUCGAAAAGGUUGGAUGUUACCUGGCUGGAUUUCAAAUCCUCCAAGUAGUUCAAGUGCUCUCUUACAAAAGGAUAUGUUGUAAUUUGCCUUUCAUGAAUGAAUUCAUUUCUGA
rnacentral:misc_RNA from 1 species